UACGUAGGGGGCAAGCGUUGUCCGGAAUCAUUGGGCGUAAAGCGCGUGUAGGCGGUUCGGUAAGUCGGCUGUGAAAGUCCAGGGCUCAACCCUGGGAUGCCGGUCGAUACUGCCGGACUAGAGUUCGGAAGAGGCGAGUGGAAUUCCCGGUGUAGCGGUGAAAUGCGCAGAUAUCGGGAGGAACACCAAUGGCGAAAGCAGCUCGCUGGGACGUUACUGACGCUGAGGCACGAAAGCGUGGGGAGCAAACAGG
rnacentral:rRNA from 1 species